UACGAGGGGUCCUAGCGUUGUUCGGAAUUACUGGGCGUAAAGCGCGUGUAGGCGGGUCUUUAAGUCAGGGGUGAAAUGCCAAGGCUCAACCUUGGAACUGCCUUUGAUACUGGAGAUCUUGAGUCCGGGAGAGGUGAGUGGAAUUGCGAGUGUAGAGGUGAAAUUCGUAGAUAUUCGCAAGAACACCAGUGGCGAAGGCGGCUCACUGGCCCGGAACUGACGCUGAGACGCGAAAGCGUGGGGAGCAAACAGG
rnacentral:rRNA from 1 species